CUUACAACGCCAUAUUGGGAAGGCCUACACUAACAGCUCUCCAAGCCGUGACUUCCAUUCCUCAUUUCAAGAUCAAGUUCCCCACAGCGCAUGGAGUAGGAGAGGUGGCGGGGGAUUUGGAUCUGGCCCGACGAUGUUAUCGGAACGCAGUUAUUUCUUCCGGAAUGGGGGUCAGCAAACAGAAACAAACCAUGGCAAUUGAGAUCGAG
rnacentral:lncRNA from 1 species